AGUGAACGCUGGCGGUAGGCCUAACACAUGCAAGUCGAACGGCAGCACAGUAAGAGCUUGCUCUUACGGGUGGCGAGUGGCGGACGGGUGAGGAAUACAUCGGAAUCUACUUUUUAGUGGGGGAUAACGUAGGGAAACUUACGCUAAUACCGCAUACGACCUACGGGUGAAAGCAGGGGAUCUUCUGACCUUGCGCGAUUGAAUGAGCCGAUGUCGGAUUAGCUAGUUGGCGGGGUAAAGGCCCACCAAGGCGACGAUCCGUAGCUGGUCUGAGAGGAUGAUCAGCCACACUGGAACUGAGACACGGUCCAGACUCCUACGGGAGGCAGCAGUGGGGAAUAUUGGACAAUGGGCGCAAGCCUGAUCCAGCCAUACCGCGUGGGUGAAGAAGGCCUUCGGGUUGUAAAGCCCUUUUGUUGGGAAAGAAAAGCAGCAGGUUAAUACCCCGCUGUUCUGACGGUACCCAAAGAAUAAGCACCGGCUAACUUCGUG
rnacentral:rRNA from 1 species